GAAGGUAGAGCUCAGUGGUAGAGCACAUGCCUAGCAUGCAUGAGGUCCUGGGUUCAAUCCCCAGUGCCUCCA
rnacentral:tRNA from 1 species